rnacentral:rRNA from 1 species
CAUGCAAGUCGUACGAGAGUUUUUAACUCAAGUGGCGGACGGGUGAGUAACACGUAAGAAUGUACCUUUAGGAGGGGGACAACAACUGGAAACGGUUGCUAAUACCCCAUAUGCUUUCGAGUGAAAUGGAUUUCCGCCUAAAGAGCAGCUUGCGGCUGAUUAGCUUGUUGGUAGGGUAAUGGCCUACCAAGGCGACGAUCAGUAUCUGGUUUGAGAGGACGAUCAGACACACUGGAACUGAGACACGGUCCAGACUCCUACGGGAGGCAGCAGUAGGGAAUUUUCCGCAAUGGGCGAAAGCCUGACGGAGCAAUACCGCGUGAGGGAUGACUGCCUAUGGGUUGUAAACCUCUUUUUUCAGGGAGGAAUAAAAUGACGUGUACCUGAAGAAUAAGCAUCGGCUAACUCCGUGCCAGCAGCCGCGGUAAGACGGAGGAUGCAAGUGUUAUCCGGAAUCACUGGGCGUAAAGCGUCUGUAGGUGGCUCAAUAAGUCAACUGUUAAAUCUUGAAGCUCAACUUCGAAAUCGCAGUCGAAACUAUUGGACUAGAGUAUAGUAGAGGUAAAGGGAAUUUCCAGUGGAGCGGUGAAAUGCGUAAAGAUUGGAAAGAACACCGAUGGCGAAGGCACUUUACUGGGCUACUACUGACA